rnacentral:rRNA from 1 species
UACGGGGGGUGCGAGCGUUGUCCGGAAUCACUGGGCGUAAAGGGCGCGUAGGUGGCGUGAUAAGGGUGUGGUGAAAGCCCGGGGCUCAACCCCGGGUCGGCCGUGCCGACUGUCAGGCUAGAGUGCUGUAGGGGCAGGCGGAAUUCCGGGUGUAGCGGUGGAAUGCGUAGAGAUCCGGAGGAAGACCGGUGGCGAAGGCGGCCUGCUGGGCAGUUACUGACACUGAGGCGCGACAGCGUGGGGAGCAAACAGG